rnacentral:rRNA from 1 species
UACGGGGGGGGCAAGCGUUGUUCGGAAUUACUGGGCGUAAAGGGCUCGUAGGCGGCCAACUAAGUCAGACGUGAAAUCCCCAGGCUUAACCUGGGAACUGCGUCUGAUACUGGAUGGCUUGAAUUCGGGAGAGGGACGCGGAAUUCCAGGUGUAGCGGUGAAAUGCGUAGAUAUCUGGAGGAACACCGGUGGCGAAGGCGGAUCUCUGGGCCUUACCUGACGCUGAGGCGCGAAAGCUAGGGGAGCAAACAGG